rnacentral:rRNA from 1 species
GAGACAGCAGCAGCCACGGUAAUACAGAGGAUGCAAGCGUUAUCCGGAGUGAUUGGGCGUAAAGCGUCUGUAGGUGGCUUUUCAAGUCCGCCGUCAAAUCCCAGGGCUCAACCCUGGACAGGCGGUGGAAACUAUCAAGCUGGAGUACGGUAGGGGCAGAGGGAAUUUCCGGUGGGGCGGUGAAAUGCGUUGAGAUCGGAAAGAACACCAACGGCGAAAGCACUCUGCUGGGCCGACACUGACACUGAGAGACGAAAGCUAGGGGAGCAAAUGGGAUUAGAUACCCCAGUAGUCCCUGUCUCUUAUAA